UUUAGGAGGAACAAAGAAAACGUGGUCUAGAAGUAGGGUAUUAAUAUGAUUCUCAAAUUUGAAUGAGCAUCUAGUUACAGCAGAUGUCCUAACUAGUGAGGUGUGAUGCCCAGAAAGAGUUUGACAAAUGGACUUCCUCAGGGAAGGGUCCCAACACACUGAGGUAACAAAACAGCAGGCAAACACAUAAAAUGUCCACUUAAUUUAUGCAACAGAGGAAAAGACAUGAGAGUUAAAGCUAAUAUAUCUGUAAAUCUCCAUCUAAUCAAUGUGCAAUGUGUUCAAACGCAGGCCCAUCACAGUAAUAUUGGUCCUACUCACCAUUCAUUUCGUUACUAUCCUCCAGCCAGUCAAUGACGCCCCUCUCUCAAUGGACUUCACAAUUCUCUGCCUAAACCAUGUCACGGCUUUCGUGUGCAGAAAUCCUUCACCGCUUUAAAAACCGGUACCGGAUUUCCGAAUAGCACAGGACUAACCGGCACAAUUUGUCGCAUACAUAAACCUACAACAGUGCUUUAAACCCAGCUCUCCUUCCGGCUGCUCGGGGAACAAUGGUGCAGCAUCAGACUGACAGCUCCACGGACAACGUGACUUACUCUGUCCAAUCGUGGUUUUAUAAACCAGGAAUCAGCCGCAGAGCACUGCUGCCUGCCCACUGUACGCUUCAAAUCCCACUGUGGAAUCAUGUGCGCCGACUGCUGCCAAAUAAGAGUCGCUGAUAGAGGCCCCUCCGCCUGCAAAGAAAGUGGAACCCUGUCGUGUGUGGUGACCUGUGUCCUCGCCCUCCUGUUGUCAGAGUACCUGGUGAUACAAUUGCGCCACAAUGGAAAUCCAAUCAAGAGAUGGACCAGGGUGAGUAGCAACCACUCUCCUGUCCCUCCCCUGUUGGCCUGCAUCGAUGAAUUAAUGUGAAGAGGAACUUUAAACACAUCUGGAUUAAAGCUACGUCAGUAUUUGAAGGUGGUCGGGGGAGAAGAAUAUCACCUUGACUUUCGCCAAAUGUAAGUACGAUGAUUGUUCUGUUUAUGGCUGUGCUUGUGUGUGAGACUGUGUGUUUGUGGAUGCAGUGAAGCUGAUAAUAGUGUGAGGUUAUUUUAUGGG
rnacentral:lncRNA from 15 species